UGGGGAAUUUUGGACAAUGGGGGAAACCCUGAUCCAGCCAUCCCGCGUGUGCGAUGAAGGCCUUCGGGUUGUAAAGCACUUUUGGCAGGAAAGAAACGUCAUGGGUUAAUACCCCGUGAAACUGACGGUACCUGCAGAAUAAGCACCGGCUAACUACGUGCCAGCAGCCGCGGUAAAACGAAGGGUGCAAGCGUUAAUCGGAAUUACUGGGCGUAAAGCGUGCGCAGGCGGUUCGGAAAGAAAGAUGUGAAAUCCCAGAGCUCAACUGUGGAACUGCAUUUUUAACUACCCGGCUAUCUUGUGUCUGGGGGAGGUGGAAUUCCGCGUGUAGCAGUGCAAUGCGUCGUUAUCCGGAGGAACACCGAUGGCAAAGGCAGCCUCCUGGGAUAACUCUGACGCUCAUGCACGAAAGCGUGGGGAGCAAACAGG
rnacentral:rRNA from 1 species